rnacentral:rRNA from 1 species
AGCAGCCGCGGUAAUUCCAGCUCCAAUAGCGUAUAUUAAAGUUGUUGCAGUUAAAAAGCUCGUAGUUGAAUUUCGGGACUAAUAUGUCGGUCGUGCCUCGGUACGCACUGGCUUAUUGGUUUCUCCUUUCUGAAGAACCAUGAUGUCAUUUAUUUGGUGUCGUGGGGAAUCAGGACUGUUACUUUGAAAAAAUUAGAGUGUUUAAAGCAGGCUCACGCUUGAAUACAUUAGCAUGGAAUAAUGAAAUAGGACGUUUGAUUCUAUUUUGUUGGUUUCUAGGAUCGACGUAAUGAUUAAUAGGGAUAGUUGGGGGCAUUAGUAUUCAAUUGUCAGAGGUGAAAUUCUUGGAUUUAUUGAAGACUAACUACUGCGAAAGCAUUUGCCAAGGAUGUUUUUCAUUAAUCAAGAACGAAAGUUAGGGGAUCGAAGACGAUCAGAUACCGUCGUAGUCUUAACCAUAAACUAUGCCGACUAGGGAUCGGAUGAUGUUAAUUUUUUUAAUGACUCAUUCGGCGCCUUA